GGCAGCAGUGGGGAAUAUUGCACAACGGGGGAAACCCUGAUGCAGCAACGCCGCGUGAGCGAAGAAGGCUUUCGAGUCGUAAAGCUCUGUCCUAAGGGAAGAAUAAUGACGGUACCUUAGGAGGAAGCCCCGGCUAACUACGUGCCAGCAGCCGCGGUAAUACGUAGGGGGCAAGCGUUAUCCGGAAUCACUGGGCGUAAAGGGUGCGUAGGCGGCUAAUCAAGCCAGAGGUGAAAGGCUACGGCUUAACCGUAGUAAGCCUUUGGAACUGAAUAGCUUGAGUGCAGGAGAGGAGAGUGGAAUUCCUAGUGUAGCGGUGAAAUGCGUAGAUAUUAGGAGGAACACCAGUGGCGAAGGCGACUCUCUGGACUGUAACUGACGCUGAGGCACGAAAGCGUGGGGAGCAAACAGGAUUAGAUACCCUGGUAGUCCACGCCGUAAACGAUGAGUGCUAGGUGUCGGGGGUUCACACCCUCGGUGCCGGAGUUAACGCAUUAAGCACUCCGCCUGGGGAGUACGGUCGCAAGACUGAAACUCAAAGGAAUUGACGG
rnacentral:rRNA from 1 species